ensembl:snRNA U6 U6 spliceosomal RNA
GUGCUCACUUCGGCAGCACAUAUACUGAAAUUGGAAUAAAACAGAAGAUUGGCAUGGCUCCUGUGAAAGGAUAACGUGCAAAUUUGUGAAGCGUUCCAUAUUUUU